UCAAACUUCGUGAUAGCUGGUUCUCUCCGAAAUAUAUUUAGGUAUAGCGUUGUGUCGUAAUAUAAGGGGGUAGAGCACUGAAUGGGCUAGGGCAUACACCAAUGUACCAAACCCUAUCAAACUCCGAAUACCUUAUAUGUAAUCACAGCAGUCAGGCGGCGAGUGAUAAAAUCCGUCGUCAAGAGGGAAACAACCCAGACUACCAGCUAAGGUCCCUAAAUCUUACUUAAGUGGAAAACGAUGUGAAGUUACUUAAACAACCAGGAGGUUGGCUUAGAAGCAGCCAUCCUUUAAAGAAAGCGUAAUAGCUCACUGGUCUAGUGAUUUUGCGCGGAAAAUAUAACGGGGCUAAAGUAAGUACCGAAGCUGUAGACUUAGUUUACUAAGUGGUAGGAGAGCGUUCUAUUUGCGUCGAAGGUAUACCGGUAAGGAGUGCUGGAGCGAAUAGAAGUGAGCAUGCAGGCAUGAGUAGCGAUAAUUAAUGUGAGAAUCAUUAACGCCGUAAACCCAAGGUUUCCUACGCGAUGCUCGUCAUCGUAGGGUUAGUCGGGUCCUAAGUCGAGUCCGAAAGGGGUAGACGAUGGCAAAUUGGUUAAUAUUCCAAUACCAACAUUAGUGUGCGAUGGAAGGACGCUUAGGGCUAAGGGGGCUAGCGGAUGGAAGUGCUAGUCUAAGGUCGUAGGAGGUUAUACAGGCAAAUCCGUAUAACAAUACUCCGAGAACUGAAAGGCUUUUUGAAGUCUUCGGAUGGAUAGAAGAACCCCUGAUGCCGUCGAGCCAAGAAAAGUUUCUAAGUUUAGCUAAUGUUGCCCGUACCGUAAACCGACACAGGUGGGUGGGAUGAGUAUUCUAAGGCGCGUGGAAGAACUCUCUUUAAGGAACUCUGCAAAAUAGCACCGUAUCUUCGGUAUAAGGUGUGGUUAGCCUUGUAUUAGGAUUUACUCCGAAAGCAAGGAAACUUACAACAAAGAGUCCCUCCCGACUGUUUACCAAAAACACAGCACUCUGCUAACUCGUAAGAGGAUGUAUAGGGUGUGACGCCUGCCCGGUGCUCGAAGGUUAAUUGAUGGGGUUAGUAUUAGCGAAGCUCUUGAUCGAAGCCCGAGUAAACGGCGGCCGUAACUAUAACGGUCCUAAGGUAGCGAAAUUCCUUGUCGGUUAAAUACCGACCUGCAUGAAUGGCGUAACGAGAUGGGAGCUGUCUCAAAGAGGGAUCCAGUGAAAUUGUAGUGGAGGUGAAAAUUCCUCCUACCCGCGGCAAGACGGAAAGACCCCGUGGACCUUUACUACAGCUUGACACUGCUACUUGGAUAAGAAUGUGCAGGAUAGGUGGGAGGCUUUGAGUAUAUGACGCCAGUUGUAUAUGAGCCAUUGUUGAGAUACCACUCUUUCUUAUUUGGGUAGCUAACCAGCUUGAGUUAUCCUCAAGUGGGACAAUGUCUGGUGGGUAGUUUGACUGGGGCGGUCGCCUCCCAAAUAAUAACGGAGGCUUACAAAGGUUGGCUCAGAACGGUUGGAAAUCGUUCGUAGAGUAUAAAGGUAUAAGCCAGCUUAACUGCAAGACAUACAAGUCAAGCAGAGACGAAAGUCGGUCUUAGUGAUCCGGUGGUUCUGUGUGGAAGGGCCAUCGCUCAAAGGAUAAAAGGUACCCCGGGGAUAACAGGCUGAUCUCCCCCAAGAGCUCACAUCGACGGGGAGGUUUGGCACCUCGAUGUCGGCUCAUCGCAUCCUGGGGCUGGAGCAGGUCCCAAGGGUAUGGCUGUUCGCCAUUUAAAGCGGUACGCGAGCUGGGUUCAGAACGUCGUGAGACAGUUCGGUCCCUAUCUGCCGUGGGCGUAAGAAGAUUGAAGAGAUUUGACCCUAGUACGAGAGGACCGGGUUGAACAAACCACUGGUGUAGCUGUUGUUCUGCCAAGAGCAUCGCAGCGUAGCUAAGUUUGGAAAGGAUAAACGCUGAAAGCAUCUAAGCGUGAAGCCAACUCUAAGAUGAAUCUUCUCUAAGCUCUCUAGAAGACUACUAGUUUGAUAGGCUGGGUGUGUAAUGGAUGAAAGUCCUUUAGCUGACCAGUACUAAUAGAGCGUUUGGCUUAUCUUU
rnacentral:rRNA from 1 species